rnacentral:rRNA from 1 species
UACGUAGGGUGCGAGCGUUAAUCGGAAUUACUGGGCGUAAAGCGUGCGCAGGCGGUUUUGUAAGACAGAUGUGAAAUCCCCGGGCUCAACCUGGGACCUGCAUUUGUGACUGCAAGGCUAGAGUACGGUAGAGGGGGAUGGAAUUCCGCGUGUAGCAGUGAAAUGCGUAGAUAUGCGGAGGAACACCGAUGGCGAAGGCAAUCCCCUGGACCUGUACUGACGCUCAUGCACGAAAGCGUGGGGAGCAAACAGG